CGAUGCAGUGCCUUAGACCACUGCGCCAUUCUCAGUGCCUGUGAGAUAAAAAGCCAGACCCUUUUUGGUAUCUUCAGCUUUCCAUACACUGGGUGAGAGACUACACUCGACUGUUGACUGCAAAAAGCUGAAGAAUUAAGGAGACGGGAGUUAAAGAAACAACAGUGACCAAACACCACCAUGGAAAAUGACACGGCCGAUGAUCUCCUGUAUCCUGACGAUUACGAUUACCGCCCUGACGAUGACCAUUACCGCCCUGAAUCAGAGGAUAUUGCAGUGGCAGUGCUUCUUCUCCUUGGUAUUUUCCCAAUCCUCCCUGCCCUUGGUUGGAUUAUCUGGUCCUUCUAUCGUAAGCGCUGGGACAAAAAACAGGUCUCAUUCUCUUUCGUGUCCCUCCUCCUCGCUGACACUCUGCAGCUGAUUGCUUCACCUUUCCUUCUGGAAACGGUGCUAACCGGGGUUCCCUGUUGGCAUGCUAGUUGGUGGUGCAUUACAGUAUACGUACUGUUCUCAGUGACAAGAUUCAACGGUCUGUUCUUUCACCUGCUGGUUGCUCUGAACAAGAUCAUCUCUCUGAGACAUCCACAAGUUGUCAGUCCACAAGUUGUCAGUCCACAAGUUGUCAGUCCACAAGUUGUCAGUCCAGUGGUUACAUUUUUUUUAGCGAUAUGGUCUCUGUGGUACUCUACAUUUUUUUUGCAGUUUUGGCACAUGUGUUUGAUAUUCGCUAUGAUAUUUUCUAUGGUGUUAAUAUUAUAUUUGGAUUGGUUGCUUUGGGCACAGCUGUUGCAGCAUGUGUGAAAGCUCUCAAACCCUUCCCAACAUUGAACCCCACCAAAGAUAAAUGUCAGAGUUUGAAGGUAUUAGCAGUGGCCAUGUUUACUUUAGUGAUACUCUAUGUUCCCGAGUUCCUCUACUGGAUAAUAUAUUACCACAAACCUGCUUUGACUGAGGGGUUUAUUUAUGUUGUCCACUACCUGCCGUGCCUGAGAACCAUAACUGACUCUGUCCUGUGUUGGUUUGUCUGCAUGGACAGGGAGCAUCCUAGUGGGCAAAUCUCAACUCAGAGGUCCUUGGAUCUCGCAUUAGAUUUUUCAGAAAUGGAGCAUGUAGUGGGACCUCCAAUACAGGAGGGUGAUGUGAUAUGAGGAAUCAAGAAAAGAUACAUUGAGAUAAAGCCCAGUACCGAGGGCUAUUUGAGGGCUAAUAAUCAUAUGAAGGAGUGGAGGGUGGUGGGAGGAGCUAUAGGAGGACGGGCUCAUUGUAAUGGCUGGGAUGGUAUUAAUGGAACAGAGUCAAG